GCUAGUAAUGGCAGGUCAGCAUACUGCCGUGAAUACGUUCCCGGGCCUUGUACACACCGCCCGUCACACCAUGAGAGUUGGGGAUACCCAAAGCCCGUGAGCCAACUGUAAAGAGGCAGCGGUCUAAGGUAGAAUCAAUGAUUGGGGUGAAGUCGUAACAAGGUACC
rnacentral:rRNA from 1 species